rnacentral:rRNA from 1 species
UACGUAGGUGGCAAGCGUUGUCCGGAUUUACUGGGCGUAAAGAGCGCGCAGGCGGUCGUUCAAGUCGCGUGUGAAAGCCCCCGGCUCAACUGGGGAGGGUCACGCGAUACUGAUCGACUCGAAGGCAGGAGAGGGUAGUGGAAUUCCCGGUGUAGUGGUGAAAUGCGUAGAUAUCGGGAGGAACACCAGUGGCGAAGGCGGCUUCCUGGCCUGUUCUUGACGCUGAGGCGCGAAAGCUAGGGGAGCAAACGGG